UGGGGAAUUUUGGACAAUGGGCGAAAGCCUGAUCCAGCAAUGCCGCGUGUGUGAAGAAGGCCUUCGGGUUGUAAAGCACUUUUGUCCGGAAAGAAAUCCUUGGCUCUAAUACAGUCGGGGGAUGACGGUACCGGAAGAAUAAGCACCGGCUAACUACGUGCCAGCAGCCGCGGUAAUACGUAGGGUGCAAGCGUUAAUCGGAAUUACUGGGCGUAAAGCGUGCGCAGGCGGUUUGCUAAGACCGAUGUGAAAUCCCCGGGCUCAACCUGGGAACUGCAUUGGUGACUGGCAGGCUAGAGUAUGGCAGAGGGGGGUAGAAUUCCACGUGUAGCAGUGAAAUGCGUAGAGAUGUGGAGGAAUACCGAUGGCGAAGGCAGCCCCCUGGGCCAAUACUGACGCUCAUGCACGAAAGCGUGGGGGAGCAAACAGGAUUAGAUACCCCUGGUAGUCCACGCCCUAAACGAUGUCAACUAGUUGUUGGGGGAUUCAUUUUCCUUAGUAACGUAGCUAACGCGUGAAGUUGACCGCC
rnacentral:rRNA from 1 species